GGACGAACGCUGGCGGCGUGCCUAACACAUGCAAGUCGAGCGAAGAUUAGUAGCAAUGUAAUCUUAGCGGCGGACGGGUGAGUAACGCGUGGGCAACCUACCUCGAAACUGGGGGAUAACACAGGGAAACUUGUGCUAAUACCGCAUAACAUCAUGAAAUGACAUCAUUUUAUGAUCAAAGGAGCAAUCCGGUGAGAGAUGGGCCCGCGUCCAAUUAGCUAGUUGGUGGUGUAACGGACCACCAAGGCGACGAUUGGUAGCCGAACUGAGAGGUUGAUCGGCCACAUUGGGACUGAGACACGGCCCAGACUCCUACGGGAGGCAGCAGUGGGGAAUAUUGCGCAAUGGGGGAAACCCUGAACCGCAGCAACGCCGCGUGAAGGAUGAAGGUUUUCGGAUCGUAAACUUCUUUGAUGAGGGACGAAAGCAAUGACGGUACCUCAAAAACAAGCCACGGCUAACUACGUGCCAGCCGCGGC
rnacentral:rRNA from 1 species